rnacentral:rRNA from 1 species
AGGCGAGCAGUAGGGAAUUUUCGUCAAUGGGGGCAACCCUGAACGAGCAAUGCCGCGUGAGCGAAGAAGGUCUUCGGAUUGUAAAGCUCUGUUGCCGGGGGAAAAAGGAAGGAAAGAGGAAAUGCUUUUCUUUGGAUGGUACCCCGGCCAGAAAGUCACGGCUAACUACGUGCC